GACGAACGCUGGCGGCGUGCUUAACACAUGCAAGUCGAACGGAAAGGCCCUGCUUUUGUGGGGUGCUCGAGUGGCGAACGGGUGAGUAACACGUGAGUAACCUGCCCUUGACUUUGGGAUAACUUCAGGAAACUGGGGCUAAUACCGGAUAGGAGCUCCUGCUGCAUGGUGGGGGUUGGAAAGUUUCGGCGGUUGGGGAUGGACUCGCGGCUUAUCAGCUUGUUGGUGGGGUAGUGGCUUACCAAGGCUUUGACGGGUAGCCGGCCUGAGAGGGUGACCGGCCACAUUGGGACUGAGAUACGGCCCAGACUACUACGGGAGGCAGCAGUGGGGAAUAUUGCACAAUGGGCGGAAGCCUGAUGCAGCAACGCCGCGUGCGGGAUGAAGGCCUUCGGGUUGUAAACCGCUUUCGCCUGUGACGAAGCGUGAGUGACGGUAAUGGGUAAAGAAGCACCGGCUAACUACGUG
rnacentral:rRNA from 1 species